rnacentral:rRNA from 1 species
GGUGCUGCUGCGUGUUAUCGUGCACCCACCGUCGACCAACGAGUUGUCGUGCUGUGCUGUGCUGUGACCUCGCCGACUGUCGACAGCUCGGCGGACCGCGGUGGUGAAAGUGACUGUGCAAGGCACCGAGUGUGUCCACCUCAUCUGUCUGUGUGUGUGUGUUGUUUUUCAGCAUGCAUACAGAGAUUGACAUGGUAUCCGGCACGCAUGUCACAGGUGUGUUGAAGCGAGGCGCGUCGCUGUCUGUGGGUGUCGGGCGUGAUUGUCGUGUUGCCUGCAAAAAGUAGGUCCGGCAGUGGUCUGGCGCCGUUACAGUGGGCAGUGUAUUACGUUGCUUCGGGUGCAUGUGAUACCGGGGGUGCAAUAGUCAGUGGUGCUGUGGUAGACGAGCUACCCGACCCGUCUUGAAACACGGACCAAGGAGUUUAACAUGUGUGCAAGUCAAAGGGCCUCACGAAGCCCCAAGGCGCAGUGAAAGUGAAGCUCGUGUCGUGUGAAUAUGCGAUGCGACGAGGUGAGAUCCCACCGUUUGAUCGCUGCAUGCUAUGGCACCUUUUAGGGCCAGGUAAAGAGCGGUGGGCGCAUCACCGGCCCGUCCCAUGAUGUGGUCAUUGGCAAUGAUCGGUGUUGUUGUGGUGUGGCUUAGGCUGUGCCCUCGUGCCGGUUGGUCGGUGCGUCAUCGGGGCGGAGCAGGAGCAUACAUGUUGAGACCCGAAAGAUGGUGAACUAUGCUUGCGUAGGUUGAAGCCAGAGGAAACUCUGGUGGAGGACCGUAGCGAUUCUGACGUGCAAAUCGAUCGUCAAACGUGAGUAUAGGGGCGAAAGACUAAUCGAACCAUCUAGUAGCUGGUUCCCUC